rnacentral:lncRNA from 1 species
CCAAAGUGGUAUUUGAACAUGGUCACCUGAGCAUUACUUAAUACCAAUUCAAAUUAGUGGCUAUCGAGUUAUUUAAAUACUGAGUCUAUUCAUAUGGACCUUUAUUUAGAUCACCCAAAUUGUAUGGAUUGAAACUCACCAUCUCUUGCAAAUUAAUGAACAUAUAACAAUUCAAACAUGUCGAGGAGCAUUUAUUUUGGCAUGUUCAAUAGCAUGUUAC